AUCCCGCAAGGCAGAACGACCCGCGAACGUGUGAGUUGAACCUCACGGUUCACUCCACUCUCUGUCCAACGGGGGGGAGCCACGGCCCCUCUCCCGCGGGCCCCAACAACGAACCCCGGCGCAAAUCGCGUCAAGGAACUGGAAGUAGAUGAUGUGCGGCCCCCUCGCGUCACGGACUCGAGGCGGGCGCACGUCGUUCGUAUCUCAUAAUACGAAACGACUCUCGGCAACGGAUAUCUCGGCUCUCGCAUCGAUGAAGAACGUAGCGAAAUGCGAUACUUGGUGUGAAUUGCAGAAUCCCGUGAACCAUCGAGUUUUUGAACGCAAGUUGCGCCCGAAGCCGUCAGGCCUAGGGCACGUCUGCCUGGGUGUCACGCAACGUCGCCGCGACCCCCCGGUACCCCCCAUUCGGGGUGGCGGGGCACGGCGGAUGCUGGCCUCCCGUGCGCUCCCGCUCGCGGUUGGCCCAAAACACAGACCCUCGGCGAUGGUUGCCACGGCACGCGGUGGUCGGAACCAAAGGCUCCCAGCCAGAGAACCGCCGUGCGCAAAUCCUCGUCGAUGGGAUCAAUAGACCCCCACAUCGCACAGCGACCC
rnacentral:rRNA from 1 species